AUUGAACGCUGGCGGUAUGCUUUACACAUGCAAGUCGAACGGAUUAAAGAGCUUGCUCUUUAGUUAGUGGCGAACGGGUGAGUAAUAUAUCGGAACAUAUCCGGAAGUGGGGGAUAACGUAGCGGAAGUUACGCUAAUACCGCAUAUGCCCUGAGGGGGAAAGGGGGGGAUCGCAAGACCUCUCGCUUUCGGAGUGGCCGAUAUCGGAUUAGCUAGUAGGUGAGGUAAAGGCUCACCUAGGCGACGAUCCGUAGCUGGUCUGAGAGGACGACCAGCCACACUGGAACUGAGACACGGUCCAGACUCCUACGGGAGGCAGCAGUGGGGAAUUUUGGACAAUGGGCGAAAGCCUGAUCCAGCCAUACCGCGUGAGUGAAGAAGGCCUUCGGGUUGUAAACCGCUCUCGGAGGGGAGGAAGUUUCUGUGUCUGUG
rnacentral:rRNA from 1 species